rnacentral:rRNA from 1 species
UACAGAGGGUGCGAGCGUUAAUCGGAAUUACUGGGCGUAAAGCGCGCGUAGACGGUUUUGUAAGUCAGAUGUGAAAUCCCUGGGCUCAACCUGGGAACUGCAUUUGAGACUGCAUGGCUAGAGUAUGGAAGAGGGAAGUGGAAUUUCCGGUGUAGAGGUGAAAUUCGUAGAUAUUGGGAAGAACACCGGUGGCGAAGGCGGCGACCUGGUCCGUUACUGACGCUGAGGCGCGACAGCGUGGGGAGCAAACAGG